GUCUUGCUGCUGCUCCUGCUGCUGCUGCUGCUGCUGCAGGCGGCCCAGCAGCAGGUUGUGUUUUGCUGUCGGUGUGCUGCUGCUGCUCCUGCUGCUGCUGCUCCUGCUGCUGCUGCUGCUGCUCCUGCUGCUGCUGCUGCUGCAUCUGCAGCAGCAGCGUAUGUAUCGUAUUUGGUGUGGCUCCCCAGCAGCAGCAAUUCCACCAACAGCAGCUGAAGCAGCAGCUGCAGCAGCAGCUGCAGCAGCAGCAGCUGCAGCAGCUGCAGAAGCAGCAGCUGCAGCAGCUGCAGCAGCAGCAGCUGCAGCAGCAGCAGCAGCUCGACCAC
rnacentral:ncRNA from 1 species